rnacentral:rRNA from 1 species
UGGGGAAUUUUGCACAAUGGGGGGAACCUUGAUGCAGCGACGCCGCGUGAGGGAUGGAGGCCUUCGGGUUGUGAACCUCUUUCGCUCGUGUGCAAGCUGCUAUUUGGGUAGUGGUGAGUGUAGCGGGUAAAGAAGCGCCGGCUAACUACGUGCCAGCAGCCGCGGUAAUACGUAGGGCGCGAGCGUUGUCCGGAUUUAUUGGGCGUAAAGGGCUUGUAGGCGGUUUGUCGCGCCUGUCGUGUAAUCCUCUGGCUUAACUGGGGGUGUGCGGAGGGUACGGGCAAGCUUGAGUGCGGUAGGGGAGAUUGGAAUUCCUGGUGUAGCGGUGGAAUGCGCAGAUAUCAGGAGGAACACCGGUGGCGAAGGCGGGUCUCUGUGCCGUUACUGACGCUGAGGAGCGAAAGCGUGGGGAGCGAACAGG